UACAGAGGGUGCGAGCGUUGUCCGGAAUCACUGGGCGUAAAGGGCGCGUAGGCGGCUUGAUAAGCGUGCGGUGAAAGCCCGGGGCUCAACCCCGGGUCGGCCGUGCGAACUGUCGAGCUGGAGCACUGUAGAGGCAGGUGGAAUUCCGGGUGUAGCGGUGGAAUGCGUAGAUAUCGGGAGGAACACCUGUGGCGAAAGCGGCUCACUGGACCACAACUGACGCUGAGGCGCGAAAGCUAGGGGAGCAAACAGG
rnacentral:rRNA from 1 species